rnacentral:tRNA from 1 species
GGGCCUUUAGCUCAGACGGUUAGAGCGUACCCCUGAUAAGGGUAAGGUCGGUGGUUCGAUUCCACCAAGGCCCACUU